CCCUUGAAAAUUGGAAAGCUUUGCAGACCCCCCUGGACUCUGCUGCUGACAGACCCGCUAUGCAAGAGAACAGGUUUUCUACUUCUAAGGAGGCUACAGUUUGAAAGGAAAUGAAAAGAAACAGAAAGAGGAAAGGAAGGUGUGCCGAGGGCAGGAGAAGUGACUGUCUUAAUAAAAUCUCCAAGGACGGGACAAAAAGAAACGAAUGGUGAACAGACACACCAAAGAACAGACAGGCUGGUCCAAAGGAGAGGAAGGCAAGUUGCAACAGAUACGAAUUGCCGGUUGUGAGCCUGAAUCUCUCUCCUCAGUGGUCUUUAAGGUCUGCACUGGUGUACCUGGACGCUGCUGUGACCAUGGAGCUCAAGCAAGCCGAUCUUUGGUGUUUAUUAUUCCUGUUGCAGGCAGCAGUUGGAGUGAUGAGUGAGUAGGGCAUGAACACCUUUGAGAUGUUGGUGUGUGUGAAUGUUUUGGCUGGCACAGGUGGCAGAACACAUGUUGCAUGCAGAAUAUCCAGAGUUUGGAAAAAUUACUUGGGUGGACUAUAUUUCCCAGAAUCAUCCCGAUCAGCAUGGCAUGUGCAUUCUGGGAAUUGUAGUGGCAAAAUAAACAUUUCCAAGUUCAGAGAGUCCCAGAUUUCAUUUGACACCAGUAAAGGAAGGCCCAAUCCAUUAGUCCCAGUGGCAUCACCCGGGUUGGUGUUCGCAGGCUAUCUGGCACCCCCAACUGACUCCCUCUACCAGCCAGACUGCCUCUGCCUUGAUGGUAGUGGUUUGGUGCAACCUUGGGAUGGGCAGAAGUGAUCAUGCCCCUGGGUGUUCACCCGCUCAGGGUGUCUCCUGGUGCAAUCUGCACCCCCCUAGUGAUGCCCCUGCUCAGAGGCCAGCUCUCUUUGGUUCCCAAGAAUUCCUAAACUGAUUCCAUUCUCAGUUGAUUCUUAAAAGUAGAGGUAGAAUGUAACAGCCUUUUUCAACAUUUAUACCCUGGAAGAACUCUUGGACUAAUUUUUAGGUCUCAGGGAAUCCCUGCAUUAAAGUCAUACCUACCACUAAAAGGAACUGAUUAAUUUUUUUUC